UUGCAUCCGUUGUGUAGUAAUAUGGUUAAAUUCCAAGGUUAUCUUAAUCUUUCUUCCUCUUCAAUAUAGACAUGAAGAUUUCCUUGAAUGUUAUGUUCUCCAAGGUCAGCAAAACAUUGUUUUCUUUCCAUGAUCUUUGAAGGAAAACAUUCCUGCCCCUUGAAAAUAUGUAUUGUCUACUUAAAGGAUUUGCAAAAGAAGCCUAGUGAAAUCUGUGUGGACUAGAAGAGUUGUUUUGGAUCAAAGCUAUUUAGAACACAAUCCAAAUGAACUUGAAUGUCACAGAGAGAGCAACAAGAAUUAUUCCAGAAUAUGAGCAGAUUCGCUUCACCAGAUCUUUUGGACUCCUGCACGAUCUUGAGUAUGCUCACUCCUACUGCAGCUCAAUUGUUGCAAACAAACAUCACCAAAAUAUUUUGAGGGAAGUAUGCAGAUGUUUUGCAAGGAGCAUGAUAUACUGUCCAUGGGGGAAACAACCUCAAGGUUUUGUCUGGAACCCUAAUGGUUUGGCUAAAACACUUCUUCUGGGAGAGAAUCCAGGACUCAUGGAAGAUUGAGCAUACAGCUGAGACUCAAUUUCCUGACUGCCUCCUCAGAACAAAGCAACAAAUGGAAAAGUUUAUUCCAAACAGUGAGGCUACCUCCUCUUUGGAUUACCUCUCCUCUUUGGAUUCCUCUGCAACUCUACAGCAGUAUCUUAAGAACCAAAAUUCUGGAAUCAGUGCUUCUGGUACCCCAACCAUGCUAAACCCUCUUCAUUCAUCUGGUUCUCACAGUCAUAAAAAACUCUGUGUCUUUCCUAUAUCAGCCUCUUGAAACAAAUAAAAGCGAACCAAAGUAAAACCA
rnacentral:lncRNA from 1 species